CCUACGGGGUGCAGCAGUGAGGAAUAUUGGUCAAUGGACGCAAGUCUGAACCAGCCAUGCCGCGUGCAGGAAGACGGCUCUAUGAGUUGUAAACUGCUUUUGUACGAGGGUAAACGCAGAUACGCGUAUCUGUCUGACAGUAUCGUACGAAUAAGGAUCGGCUAACUCCGUUCCCGCAGCCGCGGUACUACGGAGGAUUCAAGCGUUAUCCGGAUUUAUUGGGUAUAAAGGGUGCGUAGGCGGUCGGAUAAGUUAGAGGUGAAAUCCCGAGGCUCAACUUCGGAAUUGCCUCUGAUACUGUUCGGCUAGAGAGUAGUUGCGGUAGGCGGAAGGUAUGGUGUAGCGGUGAAAUGCUUAGAGAGCAUACAGAACACCGAUUGCGAAGGCAGCUUACCAAGCUACUUCGGACGUUGAGGCACGAAAGCGUGGGGAGCAAACAGGAUUAGAUACCCGGGGAGUC
rnacentral:rRNA from 1 species